UUAAGCGACUAAGCGUACACGGUGGAUGCCCUGGCAGUCAGAGGCGAUGAAGGACGUGCUAAUCUGCGAUAAGCGUCGGUAAGGUGAUAUGAACCGUUAUAACCGGCGAUUUCCGAAUGGGGAAACCCAGUGUGAUUCGUCACACUAUCAUUAACUGAAUCCAUAGGUUAAUGAGGCGAACCGGGGGAACUGAAACAUCUAAGUACCCCGAGGAAAAGAAAUCAACCGAGAUUCCCCCAGUAGCGGCGAGCGAACGGGGAGCAGCCCAGAGCCUGAAUCAGUGUGUGUGUUAGUGGAAGCGUCUGGAAAGGCGCGCGAUACAGGGUGACAGCCCCGUACACAAAAAUGCACAUGCUGUGAGCUCGAUGAGUAGGGCGGGACACGUGGUAUCCUGUCUGAAUAUGGGGGGACCAUCCUCCAAGGCUAAAUACUCCUGACUGACCGAUAGUGAACCAGUACCGUGAGGGAAAGGCGAAAAGAACCCCGGCGAGGGGAGUGAAAAAGAACCUGAAACCGUGUACGUACAAGCAGUGGGAGCACGCUUCGGCGUGUGACUGCGUACCUUUUGUAUAAUGGGUCAGCGACUUAUAUUCUGUAGCAAGGUUAACCGAAUAGGGGAGCCGAAGGGAAACCGAGUCUUAACUGGGCGUUAAGUUGCAGGGUAUAGACCCGAAACCCGGUGAUCUAGCCAUGGGCAGGUUGAAGGUUGGGUAACACUAACUGGAGGACCGAACCGACUAAUGUUGAAAAAUUAGCGGAUGACUUGUGGCUGGGGGUGAAAGGCCAAUCAAACCGGGAGAUAGCUGGUUCUCCCCGAAAGCUAUUUAGGUAGCGCCUCGUGAAUUCAUCUCCGGGGGUAGAGCACUGUUUCGGCAAGGGGGUCAUCCCGACUUACCAACCCGAUGCAAACUGCGAAUACCGGAGAAUGUUAUCACGGGAGACACACGGCGGGUGCUAACGUCCGUCGUGAAGAGGGAAACAACCCAGACCGCCAGCUAAGGUCCCAAAGUCAUGGUUAAGUGGGAAACGAUGUGGGAAGGCCCAGACAGCCAGGAUGUUGGCUUAGAAGCAGCCAUCAUUUAAAGAAAGCGUAAUAGCUCACUGGUCGAGUCGGCCUGCGCGGAAGAUGUAACGGGGCUAAACCAUGCACCGAAGCUGCGGCAGCGACGCUGAUGCGUUGUUGGGUAGGGGAGCGUUCUGUAAGCCUGCGAAGGUGUGCUGUGAGGCAUGCUGGAGGUAUCAGAAGUGCGAAUGCUGACAUAAGUAACGAUAAAGCGGGUGAAAAGCCCGCUCGCCGGAAGACCAAGGGUUCCUGUCCAACGUUAAUCGGGGCAGGGUGAGUCGACCCCUAAGGCGAGGCCGAAAGGCGUAGUCGAUGGGAAACAGGUUAAUAUUCCUGUACUUGGUGUUACUGCGAAGGGGGGACGGAGAAGGCUAUGUUGGCCGGGCGACGGUUGUCCCGGUUUAAGCGUGUAGGCUGGUUUUCCAGGCAAAUCCGGAAAAUCAAGGCUGAGGCGUGAUGACGAGGCACUACGGUGCUGAAGCAACAAAUGCCCUGCUUCCAGGAAAAGCCUCUAAGCAUCAGGUAACAUCAAAUCGUACCCCAAACCGACACAGGUGGUCAGGUAGAGAAUACCAAGGCGCUUGAGAGAACUCGGGUGAAGGAACUAGGCAAAAUGGUGCCGUAACUUCGGGAGAAGGCACGCUGAUAUGUAGGUGAAGUCCCUCGCGGAUGGAGCUGAAAUCAGUCGAAGAUACCAGCUGGCUGCAACUGUUUAUUAAAAACACAGCACUGUGCAAACACGAAAGUGGACGUAUACGGUGUGACGCCUGCCCGGUGCCGGAAGGUUAAUUGAUGGGGUUAGCCGCAAGGCGAAGCUCUUGAUCGAAGCCCCGGUAAACGGCGGCCGUAACUAUAACGGUCCUAAGGUAGCGAAAUUCCUUGUCGGGUAAGUUCCGACCUGCACGAAUGGCGUAAUGAUGGCCAGGCUGUCUCCACCCGAGACUCAGUGAAAUUGAACUCGCUGUGAAGAUGCAGUGUACCCGCGGCAAGACGGAAAGACCCCGUGAACCUUUACUAUAGCUUGACACUGAACAUUGAGCCUUGAUGUGUAGGAUAGGUGGGAGGCUUAGAAGUGUGGACGCCAGUCUGCAUGGAGCCGACCUUGAAAUACCACCCUUUAAUGUUUGAUGUUCUAACGUUGACCCGUAAUCCGGGUUGCGGACAGUGUCUGGUGGGUAGUUUGACUGGGGCGGUCUCCUCCUAAAGAGUAACGGAGGAGCACGAAGGUUGGCUAAUCCUGGUCGGACAUCAGGAGGUUAGUGCAAUGGCAUAAGCCAGCUUGACUGCGAGCGUGACGGCGCGAGCAGGUGCGAAAGCAGGUCAUAGUGAUCCGGUGGUUCUGAAUGGAAGGGCCAUCGCUCAACGGAUAAAAGGUACUCCGGGGAUAACAGGCUGAUACCGCCCAAGAGUUCAUAUCGACGGCGGUGUUUGGCACCUCGAUGUCGGCUCAUCACAUCCUGGGGCUGAAGUAGGUCCCAAGGGUAUGGCUGUUCGCCAUUUAAAGUGGUACGCGAGCUGGGUUUAGAACGUCGUGAGACAGUUCGGUCCCUAUCUGCCGUGGGCGCUGGAGAACUGAGGGGGGCUGCUCCUAGUACGAGAGGACCGGAGUGGACGCAUCACUGGUGUUCGGGUUGUCAUGCCAAUGGCACUGCCCGGUAGCUAAAUGCGGAAGAGAUAAGUGCUGAAAGCAUCUAAGCACGAAACUUGCCCCGAGAUGAGUUCUCCCUGACUCCUUGAGAGUCCUGAAGGAACGUUGAAGACGACGACGUUGAUAGGCCGGGUGUGUAAGCGCAGCGAUGCGUUGAGCUAACCGGUACUAAUGAACCGUGAGGCUUAACCUU
rnacentral:rRNA from 1 species